rnacentral:misc_RNA from 1 species
CUCCAUACAUGAAAAAUACUAUUUCUGUCCUUUUUCAAGAAUCUCUUUCACAGUUCCAUUGCAACACAAAAUUAAACAAACAAAACAUAAAGAUAGGGGGAGGGGGGGGGGGUUGACUACCAUGUAUACUACUACAAUUUGGAAUAUGAAAUUCACUUAGAUUUUCCUUUAUUUGAAGGUCCUUUUGUUGAUGAUUUCUUGUAAGGUGACUUCCUUGCCUUCAAUUUGUUAUCGGUUGACGAUGACUUCCCUCCUUGGCUUCUUCCUUUCUUAUCUUUUUUCACAUUGUACAUGUUUAUAGCCUUUUGCACGUUGAGUAUCUCGUGGGAGUUCUUGGCCAUGAAUUUGUUUAGGACCUUCUCGGUUUGUUGUCUCUCUAAGGAUCCCAUUCCUGAUCCUUCCGCAACUGGUAGGAACUUUCGAUACUUCUUGUCAUGUUUUGGGGGCUUUUCACCAGGCAACUUCUUGUCAAAUUUUCCGCCACUAGCUGUUGCAUUGGCUGCCAUUCCAGCAACAUUUCCGAGUUCAUCCUUGCUAAUUUUCCUUGGUGCAGCUUGUGAUCCUGUUAUAGGCAGUGCUGUGGCAGCAAGCUGAACGUGACUUGGCAAGGCACCAGCUUUUGCAGCUUCCUUCAAGUUACUAUAUCGGUUUUUCUCUUGUUUUUCUACUCUUUUCUUCUUUUCUUCUUGUCUCUUAGCAAAAGGAUCUUGACCAGGCUCAUCAGUUGCCUUGGCAUCAAUGAUUGGCACAUCUUUGUCAUCAUUUACACGAUCGUAGCCAUGUCUGCGCUUCCAUGAACCAGUUUGGUCAUCAAACACCACCUUGUCUUUCUUACGUUUUUGAAUACCUUUCUUCUUGGCAAACACUUCCCAUUUUGUUGGAGGUUUAGGCCUUGGAAGAGGCUUCUCUCUAGGCAAUCUCGUAGUUGGUUGAGGCAACUGGACAAGAGGACCAUCAGGGCUUUCUGUUGAAGGUAAGUUGAAGAGAGCAUCUGCAAUAGCUUGCACUAACUUGGUCCCCUCCUGUAGACACUCCUUCACCAACUCCUCCCUGGAAGAAGGUGUAGAUGCAAAACUGUGAUGUGGGUAUGAAGCCAUAAGAUUACCUACAUCCAAUUCAUAUGAUUCUUGAGCCAUCUCCAUGUUUUUUUUCGUUUGGUUUGUUUUCUGCAGAAGACCUUACGGAGAGUGGCGAGAAGGGUUUAAGGAUUUG